UACGUAGGCAGCGAGCGUUGUUCGGAAUUACUGGGCGUAAAGAGUGUGUAGGCGGUGCUCUAAGUUCGGUGUGAAAUCUCCCGCUUAACUGGGAGGGUGCGCCGGAAACUGGAGUGCUCGAGCGUGGGAGAGGAAAGCGGAAUUCCUGGUGUAGCGGUGAAAUGCGUAGAUAUCAGGAGGAACACCUGCGGUGUAGACGCUUUCUGGACCAUGCUGACGCUGAGACACGAAAGCGUGGGUAGCAAACAGG
rnacentral:rRNA from 1 species